rnacentral:sRNA from 1 species
UUGGCAUCCGGAACACAAGUAACACCUCAGAUAGCCAUGGCAGCUCAGAUGGCAGCCCUGCAAGCUAAAGCUUUGGCAGAAACAGGAAUAGCUGUUCCUAGCUACUAUAACCCAGCCGCUGUUAAUCCAAUGAAAUUUGCUGAACAAGAGAAAAAAAGGAAAAUGCUUUGGCAGGGCAAGAAAGAAGGGAGUGAAGAUGAAGCUGGAUGUAGCUCAGUUGAUGAAGAAAGUUACAAGACUCUGAAGCAACAGGAAGAAGUAUUUCGAAAUUUAGAUGCUCAGUAUGAAAUGGCAAGAUCACAAACCCACACACAAAGAGGAAUGGGUUUGGGUUUCACAUCUUCAAUGCGAGGAAUGGAUGCAGUUUGAAAAUGAUCACACUUGUAAAGUUUGGGACUUACAGACUUCUUGUUCUGAUGUCAGGUCCUUGUUCACCAAACAGCUAGCACUCUAGCUUGCAUGGGUGUUGCAUUGACUUUAAUUUAUUGAAAAAUACAAAUUUUUGUAAAUAUCAGA